UAUGUUUUUUUUCCUUCGGUUUUUUGCAACUGUAACACAAAAAUAAAACCUUUACUCGCACUCGUAGUAAGCAAAUAAACUUCACUGUCUGCUUCUGCUGCUGCUGCUGCGGCUGCAGCGAGACUGCAGCGGCCGUUGAAAGAUUUAUGACAUCAAGCAAGAGAGCGACAACAGAGGCGGCCGGUAGAGCACCAAUACGGCACGGCGUAUAAUCGAAACGAAAGUAAUGAAUGCAAAAAAUCAAAAACAACAAAACGAACGAACCGCCAUGGUGUAUGCGAAUUUUUCAUGACGAUAUUUAACAGACACCGCAAACAGCAACAACAACAACAAUAAGCAGCAAACAAAAAAAAGUUUAUCACCAAGCACUUUUCCAGAUUUAUCGAUGCAAAUAUAAAGAAAUGAGCAAUGGCAAAGAUACAAAGAUGCAACACUUGGAGUUCUUAUGAUCCAGUUUAGAAUUUUCUUAAAAUUAUGCAUUUUUUGGUUACACUCACAAUAUUUAUUCAUUAAACAAGUGUAAGAUUUUUCUAAAGCUUUUGUUGUUGCUUGGCGGCGAUUACUGAAUGGCAAUGACACGGACUGGGCAUGGACAGUGUAUGGUGUUCACUGUUAAACAACGAUAGAGGAAGUGACAUACACAAUCAAAAAGUGCAUUGUGCACUGCUACCUACAACGACUACAGCAACGACAACAACAGCUAAAACCAUCGACCACGAUAUCAUUGGAGAAGAGCGAACAAACGAGGCAACGACAAACCAACCAACGAAUGGCAAAACGUUGGCGUCAACGUUGGAGGCAACCCAGAGACAGUCAUAAAUGAAUACAAAAAAGUACACACGAGAAAUAUAGCAGACAAAAGCAGGUGCUGUUGAGGGCAGGCCUGAAACAAACAAAAGGCCUGGUAACUCUGGCAGUUGACAAAUAUAUCGAUCAGGACAAUAUUAAACCAUAAUGAAAGAUCAACAGUUAUAUGGCAUCUUUCUAAUAAGACGAGACAAGGCUUGACAAUGACUUCAUGCAUCACCCCACACAUCAAAUAUGUCUAUACAGUGCACACUACAACUGCAAACUAUUAACUCAUGUAUAUGCACUCACACACUUUGAAUUACGAGAGGCUAAGCCGAAACCGAAAACCGAAUACAAAACGUCUAAGGCGCGAGCUGUGAACAAAUGCUGAAGCUUUCUCUUUGGAUUUGGAUUAUUGUUACACACACACACACUUCCUUUGAAUGGGUUAUAAUAAACAGACGAAAAGGUGCAAGAGCACCACCGGCAGCGUAGGGCAAACACUUCGACCGAGAAACAACGAAAGAACGAACAAAUGAACCGACCGACCAACCGACUCUGUUGGAACAAAAAACAGAUUUGCAAAACGAAAGAAGCACGAAGAACCAUCAUCAAUGUUUUUUUUUAUUUUUGAUUUUUGCUCGAACAACGACCUUAAACGUACGCGGCAGUUGUGAUGAAUGCGACGCAUAUCUCAAUUGCAAAAAAGCAAUUUCUCUGUAGGGCUGACGAGCAACAAAUAUAUACAUACAAACACA